rnacentral:rRNA from 1 species
UACGGAGGGUGCAAGCGUUAUCCGGAUUCACUGGGUUUAAAGGGUGCGUAGGCGGGCAGGUAAGUCAGUGGUGAAAUCCCCGAGCUUAACUCGGAAACUGCCAUUGAUACUAUUUGUCUUGAAUAUUGUGGAGGUAAGCGGAAUAUGUCAUGUAGCGGUGAAAUGCUUAGAUAUGACAUAGAACACCAAUUGCGAAGGCAGCUUACUACACAAUGAUUGACGCUGAGGCACGAAAGCGUGGGGAUCAAACAGG